GGCAAUGCAUAGUAGAGGGUGAAUUGUGGCUGAAAGCAUUCAUUAAACACAUUUAAUCCAAAGGCAGCUACCACAUUAUCUCAUUGGUUGAAAAGUGUGCUGACCACACAUUCUGUUAUAUAUUACAACAGCACAGUUUGACAUCUAGUGAGUCCAUAUCCCAUAUCCCUACUAUCUGGUUUAUAUGCAAUUGUCAUUACUACUUAUAGUGCAAGCAGAAGAAGAAAUCAUUCAAAACAAAAAUCAAAGCAAAUAUUUGAAACAAUAUUUUGGGGUGUUGUGCUUUACUGUUUGUGCCUUCAGCUAGACCACAGCUGUGAUGUUCUUUGUUUGGAAAGUUACAGUAAACAUCAUGUGAUCCUUUUAUUUUUCUUUCUGCUUUAUUUGUUUCCUUGAAAACAACAAACCACACCCAGACUCUUCCUGUCCAAUCAUAAAUCGGGAAGAAGUGGUAGCUAGAAGAGGCUUGGCAGGUGAAGACUGGGCAGUAAAGAUGUCUCCUCCUCAGCCGUGCAGAGUGGAAGCUACACAACUACGCAAACGUGACACACAAUCGUUUGUUAUCAUGUACAGCAUUAGAUGUGCUCACACACACAUGCACAUGCAUACACACACACGUACACAUACUUACACACUCUCACACACAGACCUACACAUGACUGCACAUCCAAACAUACCCAGACAAACACCUCAAAGGGAAACAUAUCUGUUUAGAAGAUACUGUAAAUAAAUCAAAUUAAUGACACAUGCCUACGCACACACACACAAAUGCGGAUGUGCGUGCACACACAAACACACACACAGAUCAUCUAACCUAUUAACUGUGGUGGGUCUGACAAGUUGGAGAUGUGGCAGUUGAUGAAGUAACAUUAAAAGAAUCUCAUGGACCAAUGAUUGGGGGAGAAACACUGGAAGAAACAGAAGUAUGGAGGGAGGCCCCACUCUUACCGACUAUCAAAACAGGGCCUUUCCUAUACAGUAGAAAAGAAAAGAAAGAAAAAGUUUAAAAAAAAUCAAGUAGAGUAGAGAGGCUUCAGAUAAUGAUUAUCAAGUGUAUAUAAUUUAGUUUAAGAGGAAUAGAGGCAGAAACAAAACAAAUGCAAAAUAAAACUACUUUACAUGAAACUGAUUAAAUCACACUAUAACACAAUUAUUAUUAUUAUUAUGAUGAUGAUGAUUAUUAUUAUUACUCUUAUAAUUCCUAUUAUCUGCAUCAUCAUUGGAUUUAUGAUUAAAAGUGAUGAUGGCAUUAAUAGAUUUUAAAUUUCUACUUUUUCCUGAAAUGGGUGUGGGGUGGCCUGGGGGACUUUGGGGGGAAGUUUUAAUAUUUAAACUAUUUUUAUUUAUUAAUUCAUUUAUCAGUUAAUUUUUGGUAAAGGGCAGGGACUACUGAGGGUGUGUGUGGGAUGCAAUUUUUUGAUUUUAGAAUUUUUUAGAGAAAUCCUUUGAAAGUUUGAAAAAUUCAGACUUUGGACCUUGGUAAUUAUUAUAAUUAUGAACUAUGAUGAUAUUUAUUUCUUAUUUAUUGAUUCCAUUUUUAAUCCAAUCUGUUUUUAAGUUAAAAUAAAAAAAAUACAAUGCAACUUGUUCACUCUGCUGUUUUUUUAUGUGUGUGUGUCCUAAGUAAUAUCUGAGUUUGUCUGUCUGGAAAUUGUCUGCAAACACUCAUUUAAUUUAGUCUGACAGUGUGUGUGUGUGUGUGUGCGUGCG
ensembl:lncRNA